UCCCUCGUGCUAUCUGCCCUCACCCCGGCCACCGAGCCCCGACGCCUCGAGUCCUCGACCUCACGCCCGCCCCCGCCCCCUCAGUCCUCCCGCACGCCCGUCUCCCCCAUCCCCGACGACGCUCGCGACGCCGUCGCCCCCAGACCCCUCAGACUCCUCACGCGCGCCUUCGUCCCUUAUGAUGCUCACGCCGCCCCACGACCCGUCACGGACUCCUCACGCUCACCGCCUCCUCACUCCUCGCCGACGCCCGUCCCCAACGAUGCUCGCACCGCCGCCUUCCACGACCAGGAUGCCCGCUCCGCUGUCACAAGAUGACGAAGACGAAGCAGUGCCCCAGAUCUCAGGCCCCUGCGCCAUCUCUUCCCCCUUCACCUCAUAUGGAGCUGUGCCCCAGAUCCAAAUUGGUCCAUCUCUGGCCUCCUGGACGGCAUGAGGAUAUGAAGGGCAAUGCGAGAACGCCAAUUGCCCGAUUCCAUCUCUUAUUCCGCAGAUUGUGGUGCAGGUAGCAUGUAUAGAUGGGUGAUUUACAUCCGAUUUGCAUCUACCUCUUCUGGACACCCUCAGGUCCUAUGCUGUUGAUACAGCCGUUGAGGUAAGCUAGUUUUUGCCAUUUUCUACGUUUCUUCCAGAAACUGGAUGCCUGUAUCAUUUUGCUUUGCGCCUACAACAGGAUAAACAUAACUUACAGAAUAGCAUGUGUGGGUAGGGUACUUGCCUGUGUGGUAUAUUUCUAGGUUACUUACGCAUUGACUAAUUCUGAUGAAGAAUUAUGUGAUUCUGUGCAAUUUACUAAAAAAUAUUCUCAUUUUGUAGGAAAUCAUGAAUCUGCCCAAGUGCCCAGAAUAUUAUUUUUUCUUUAGAUGUAUAUUGCUUUUGAGGUUUGACCAUAUGUAUCCUGCAGUCAAGUUACUAGCAGGAGCUCUGCCUUUCAUUAAAGAUAGAAAAAAGGUUUAUGUAUAACCAAAACAAAAGGGUGCUGAGACCAGGGUUCACAUUAUCACUGAUAGAUUUCUGAUAACUCCGAUAUAUCUGUUUUGCCUGCGGGGUCUGAUAGAAUUAAUUUAUCACCCAAAAAUAUUAGUGGUCCCCACUAUUUGUUAUUUUAUGAGCGCUCGCAUACACUUUUGGCCUACUUGCGGAUCCCCAUCCCUCAUUUUUCUACAUUAUUAUGUGUCUUUUUAAAAUUGCAUAGUUCGGAGAGAAUCUAUAUUUAUUUAUGCAUAAAUUGAGAGUUUAUUUUAAUAAAUUUUGUCCCAAAAAAAUUCUUUAUCACCAAUAGAAUUUCGAUAUAUCUGAUAUUCCUAUUUAUCAAUAACCUCCGAUAUUUUUUAUUUAUCGAUAAUGUAAACCCUGGCCAAGACCCACCCUGGAGCACUCACCGCCCAAAGCGGGGAAACACAGUAGGCCUCAAGCAAGGCCGCCUCUCGAUAGAGACACAAGAUAACUUUUGUUUGUGCUUUAUAACAAUCAAUUUGCAGGAUAACUAUGAUUGGUUGGGAGUGCUCAAGUGCUUCUCAACGUGAGCUAUUCAGUGAAGAUUUGGUUGGGCUGACAUCACAGAUUUGACAUUUGAGCUGCAAGAAUGGGGUUCCUGUUCUAGGGAUAAAUUUCUGUCACGAUUGUUAUAUUGAUUUGCAUUUUGCAAUGAAGUCCAGUUGUAAAUCAAGCAAAUGAUCUAUACAUGAAAAUAAAUGAUUUGUGAGAACAAUGGAUUCCAUAUUGCCAUGGUUUAUGUGGAUGUAAGAAUUUAUGGGUAAUUGGAGGCGGUUCAGAGUUCUAUUGGACAUAAUCUAAUCUGCUAGAAGGUUCAAAGUUCUGUUGGUGUCGAGGCCAGUAGUGCUUCUUAUAGUUGUGUCCCAGUUUGAAUGGAAGCAGCACCUUGUCAAUGAGUUGGAAUCUACAGCUCGCAACCAGAAACAUAUUUCAAGUAGAGAAGAGUUCGUCAAGGAUAGGGCGAGUCACACUUUGUAUCUGAAUGCAGAUCAAACUGAAUAUCUUUUUUAUUCAGAAUCUAUCAUUUUGAUCUGAAUGCAGAUCAAGUCUGCUGAACAUUUUGUGCCUGUUGCACUAACAAUUCCAUGCUUCUGAAAUUUUGCUUUUUGCACAAUGUGGCUGAUCCUUCUAUCAUCUAUCAUAAUAUGAAUUUCUUGCUCUUUUUUUAGCUAUGGAAUUUUCUGUUACUUAAAUUAACUUUCUGCAGCCACGAGACACCAAGUGCUGUCAUAGAGUUGUGCAAUCAUUUUCUCCUGUCGAUGCAAUGGCCUUUUCUUGAGGUGGCUUGCAAGGGUGCUGCUGCUUUGUGUCGUACGUGGCUGCAUCUGCCAUCUGUUCAUGUAACGAUAAGGAGGUGUGGCUCAUGGAAUGGUGAAGGCAUGGCUUCUGCAUCCUUGAUGUCCGUGAUGUUGUUUGCAUGAUCUCUUGCGUAAGCUGUUCAAUAUUUGCAGACCAUGAGUUGACAGCAUCAUUAUUUGGAGAAAAAAUUUAGAAGCUGCUCAGUAUUUGCAGAUCAUGAGUUGAAGCUGUCAGUUAAGACUCGUGGCCGGCUCAUGGAGUCUGAAUUCUUGAAGCAGUUCAUAUGUUGACUCAGCGAUAGUAGUAGUAAGGCAAAUUGAUUUCUGAAUUGUACUGUGAACUAAGUUUGUUCUGUAGCCAUAUAGAAUUAGCAUAAUAAUGCAUACACAGAUGGGAAUGUAUAAUAACCAAGUUUGUUGAGA